UUAAAACAAAUUUUAAAAAUUUCCCUUGAGAACCAUAAGACUCUAAGUGUUAAUUAACUUCUUCUAGAUUGAGUUAUUGCUAAAAUUAUUAGUAGUACACAAUUGAUUAAAAUAAUAAAUAUAAUUUUAAAUGAAUAAUCAUUAAGUGUGAUCAUGAAAAUAUUACUGAGAAUGUCUCUCUUAAUAGGACUGGUGGGGUUGGUAUUUUUUUCUACUAGUUCAUGCAUCCAUGAAUGGAAAUUACUUAUUGCUAGAACAACACAGAGCUCAGCUUACAUUCCCUUAAUAUUGUCCUUUGUUUUGAUAUUUAUGCUGAGAAAUUUUGUUUAUACAAACAGGUAGAUGAGGAUGGAUGAUGUUGUUACAACAAUGCCAACCAAUUCUUUAAACCCCUUCUGAAUUAAAUGCCCCAUUCACAUAAUGGCCUAACAUCAAAAAUUAUUUUUAAUGAUCAAUCCAUUUGCCUGACAAUUGCAUUUGUCUUUCUUCAAUGUUAUUCAGAGAAUAGGAUUGGAACCCUUCUAACAUACAAGAGAAUUUAUUACCCAUAUUAUAGUUAUCUACUUUCUCAGCAUCUACAUCAUUUGCAAGCUGAUGGCUCAGGGCUUUUUACACCCUGGGGAAAUGUACCAUAAGUAGGCUCAGGGCUGGGUAAUGGGUAGCUUGUGAAGGAAGAUAUCUUCUUCACAGGCGUAUUCUCAGGCAGAUUGAUUUUAGGAAGGAAUACAGAAAUUGAGGACUGGGAAAUCAAUCUCUUAAAACGAUUCAUUUUGGAAAGAUUUCUUACAUCCUCUGGAAAGAUUUCCUACAUCCUCAGAUACACAUGCUCUAGAGAUAGAUUUAAGCCAAGAAAAUGGUUGAUGUGCCCAUGGAGAAUAUGCAAAAUCUUUAGAACAAAAUCCUGGUUGGUCAGAGGAGCUAUAACACUCUGUUAAUCAGUUUUAUGUCAUUAUAACAAAAUACCUGAGAUAAAUUAGCUUUUAAAGAUAGAAAUUUUGUUUUGGCUCACAGUUUGGAGGUCCAUGAUAUUGGCUUUUGCUUUGGGCCUAUGGUGGGGGAGCACACCAUGGUGGAAGUGCAUAGUGAAGUAAAAAUGUCCCUCCUCAAUCACUUGAAAGCAUCCCUCUUAGCCUCAUCCUUUUUUGGAGGGAGUCCUAGGAAUUGAACUCAGGGCCUUGUGAAUGCUAGGCAAACAUUCUACCAACUGAGCCAUAUCCCUAGCCCUAGCCCCAGCCUUUAAAGAUUUCAUCACUUCCCAAUAAUUUCAAGCUGGGAACCAAGAAUUUAACACAUGGGCCUUUAGAGGACAUUCUAGAUCCAACCAUAGCAGACAUGCGAAGGAGACUGGAAGAAAUGAUCAGAGAGAGAAAAGAAAAACCCAGAAAAUGGUGUCACAGAGGCUGAGGAAUGAAUGAGAUUCUGGAAGGAGAGAACAGUCACUGUGCGAAUGCCCCAGCCGGAGCAGGUAAGAUAAUAGUAUAAAAGUUUGGUGGCCUGGUGCCUUAGGACACUGACAACCUGGGUAAAGACCACUUCAUAAGGGUGGGGAGUCCUAAUCAUUGCUUUUCCCAGAAGUUUAGCUGUAAGAUGGAUCAAGGUGGGUGGAAGGGUUUUCCCCUUUUUUCCUUUCUUACAUGUCUUUAUGGGAAGAUGGAGAAGUGCUCAUAGGCCUUGGGGAAGAUAGGCAGAGCGUGGUUGAAAAAGAAGAAAGGUAAGAACAGCGUCUCUGAAGAAGUAGAGAGGGACAGGGGAGCCAGAUCACGUGCAGUUUACAUUUGGAUCAGGAGAAAUGGUCAAGGACGGAGCUGCAGAAACAUUCUGUAUUCUAAAUCUCAUAAUCCCAGCAUCUGAGCUCUUGGUGAUCUGAUUUUGCUGCCUGUGGAAUUUUCU
rnacentral:lncRNA from 1 species